UACGUAGGGGGCAAGCGUUAUCCGGAAUUACUGGGUGUAAAGGGUGAGUAGGCGGCAUGGUAAGCCAGAUGUGAAAGCCUUGGGCUUAACCCGAGGAUUGCAUUUGGAACUAUCAAGCUAGAGUACAGGAGAGGAAAGCGGAAUUCCUAGUGUAGCGGUGAAAUGCGUAGAUAUUAGGAAGAACACCAGUGGCGAAGGCGGCUUUCUGGACUGAAACUGACGCUGAGGCACGAAAGCGUGGGGGAAGC
rnacentral:rRNA from 1 species